GGGGGAUUAGUGGCGAACGGGUGAGUAACACGUGAGUAACCUGCCCUUAACUCUGGGAUAAGCCUGGGAAACUGGGUCUAAUACCGGAUAUGACUCCUCAUCGCAUGGUGGGGGGUGGAAAGCUUUAUUGUGGUUUUGGAUGGACUCGCGGCCUAUCAGCUUGUUGGUGAGGUAAUGGCUCACCAAGGCGACGACGGGUAGCCGGCCUGAGAGGGUGACCGGCCACACUGGGACUGAGACACGGCCCAGACUCCUACGGGAGGCAGCAGUGGGGAAUAUUGCACAAUGGGCGCAAGCCUGAUGCAGCGACGCCGCGUGAGGGAUGACGGCCUUCGGGUUGUAAACCUCUUUCAGUAGGGAAGAAGCGAAAGUGACGGUACCUGCAGAAGAAGCGCCGGCUAACUACGUGCCAGCAGCCGCGGUAAUACGUAGGGCGCAAGCGUUAUCCGGAAUUAUUGGGCGUAAAGAGCUCGUAGGCGGUUUGUCGCGUCUGCCGUGAAAGUCCGGGGCUCAACUCCGGAUCUGCGGUGGGUACGGGCAGACUAGAGUGAUGUAGGGGAGACUGGAAUUCCUGGUGUAGCGGUGAAAUGCGCAGAUAU
rnacentral:rRNA from 1 species